AUUGAACGCUGGCGGCAGGCCUAACACAUGCAAGUCGAACGGAGUGGCGGACGGGUGAGUAAUGUCUGGGAAACUGCCUGAUGGAGGGGGAUAACGUCCGGAAACGGGCGCUAAUACCGCAUACUAUCGGAUGAGCCUAGGUCGGAUUAGCUAGUUGGUGGGGUAAAGGCUUACCAAGGCAGCGAUCCGUCACUGGUCUGAGAGGAUGAUCAGUCACACUUGAACUGAGAAACGGUGCAGACUCCUAAGGGAGGCAGCAGGGGGGAAUAUUGGACAAUGGGCGAAAACCUGAUGCAGCCAUGCCGCGGUUGUGAAGAAGGUCUUCGGAUUGGUAAGCACUUUAAGUUGGGAGGCGUUACCCGCAGAAGAAGCACCGGCUAACUCCGGGCCAGCAGCCGCGGUAAUAC
rnacentral:rRNA from 1 species